UACGUAGGGGGCAAGCGUUGUCCGGAUUUAUUGGGCGUAAAGAGCGUGUAGGCGGCCAGCCAAGUCCGUUGUGAAAACUAGAGGCUUAACCUCUAGACGUCGAUGGAAACUGUUUGGCUAGAGUCCGGAAGAGGAGAAUGGAAUUCCUGGUGUAGCGGUGAAAUGCGCAGAUAUCAGGAAGAACGCCCGUGGCUAAGGCGGUUCUCUAGUACGGUACUGACGCUGAGACGCGAAAGCGUGGGGAGCGAACAGG
rnacentral:rRNA from 1 species